rnacentral:lncRNA from 1 species
ACUGGGGUUCCUGCCUGGCUAUAGGAGGUGGCCUCUUCUGGUUCUAUAUCCCCAAUAUAGUGAAUUACAGUUAAGGGCACUCCCAUUGGUUGUUGAGUACCUCCCUUAUCCCAGGUCUCUAUCUCGUCCUAGUGAUGCCCCCCCCACGCCCCACCUCCUCACCCCUGAGUGUUGCAGAUUCCUAUCUAUUUUUAUGGUCAUCUGUCCAUCUACAAACCUGAUUCUGAAAUCCCCAUUCUCCUCCAUCAGCCUCCUUCCUAGUUUCCUCCCUGUCUGCCUCUUAUGACUCUUCCUCCUUCUAAGUGAGAUUCAACUUUCCUUUUUGUUUAGCUUCUUUGGGUCUGGGGAGUGUAAUAUUAUACUUAUAUUUUAUGACUAAUAUCCAUUUUUAGGUGAGUACAUACCAUGCAUGUCCUUUUGGGACUGAGUUAACCUCACUCAGGAUGAUAUUCUCAAGUUCCAUCCAUUUUCCCGCAAAAUUGACGAUGUCUUUGUUUUUAAUUGCUGGAUAGUAUUCCGUUAUGUAAAUAUGCCACAUUAUUUUUAUCCAUUCUUCAGUUGGUGGACAUCUAGGUUGUUUCCAGUUUCUGACUGUUACAAAUAAAGCUGCUAUGAACAUAGUUGAACAAGUGUCUUUGUGAGAUAAUGGAGCAUCUUUUGGGUAUAUCUGGGUCUGGAGGUCAAACUAUUUUCUGUUUUCUGAGAAACUGACAUGCCUUGACUUUUUUUUUAAAAAAGAACCUCAUAUCCAACUGUAAAGAAUUAAAAAUGCCUGUAUGUAUAUAAAAAAGUUAAGUUUUUUUUUUUUUUAGCAAAUAUUUAACUUAUUUUUGCAUCUUCUCUGCAAACUUAAAUUAGGCUCUUUUUAGUUCAAGAAGUAAUUGAAUUCUCUUAAGCAGAUUAAGUAUUUCUUUUCCAGACUGCUAUCUUGAUUUAUAAGUUAGCACUAAGACUUCAUUGUGAACUAAUUGCUGUUUCUGUUUUUGAUCUUUGCUAUUUUUCUUACUUUAUUUUCUUAUGUUUACAAUAGUUCUCCUUGGCAAGCUUCCUGGAUCACAUUUUUUUUAAAAGCUAAAAAUAUAUCUGCAUGGCAUAAUUUUUCCUUUUGUAUGUUAUACCUCUUAUCAUGUUGAAGACAGUUCCCUAAGAUUUAUUUUUCUAAUUCACUAAGUCUUUCUUCAGCUGUACCUAGUCUUCAAUACAGCCACUUUUUUUUGUUCAAUACUUUAUUUUUCAAUUUUGAUUUUCCUAUUUGGCCUAAAAGCAUCCUGGAAAUGACACGGUGAGUAGUCUCUGUGGCAUGUACAGUUCCUGCUCAAUUGUGGUUUGGGAGCAAUGGUUCUUGUUUAAUCUUAUCUGCCUUUUGAUGACGUCGCUGCCAGGGUGGAUGACUGGUUGUAGAAUUAGAGUUUAUCUGCCAGGCUGCUAGAUCACAGCCUUCAGCUUCCCAGCUGCAUCUUCCUUUGAUGUUUAAUAGCUCUGAUGACAAAGCUCUGUUGUGAUCAUCUUUGAAUUGACUUACCACUUACGGAAGGCUUUAAGCAACUCCUUUUUUCUUUCCCCUUUCCCAACUUCCAAAUCUUUCCCCAAACCCUAUCCAUGCAACUUCAUAUUCUUUUUCUUAAUCUCCCCAAACCAAACCAAACCAAACCAAACCAAACCAAACCAAACCAAACCAAAAAGUC